rnacentral:tRNA from 1 species
GCCCGGAUGGCGAAAUCGGUAGACGCAAGGGACUUAAAAUCCCUCACCUGAAAGGGUAUCUGGGUUCGAGUCCCAGUCCGGGCA